UACAGAGGGGCAAGCGUUGUUCGGAUUCAUUGGGCGUAAAGGGUGCGUAGGCGGCGCGGUAAGUCGGGUGUGAAAUCUCGGAGCUUAACUCCGAAACUGCAUUCGAUACUGCCGUGCUUGAGGACUGGAGAGGAGACUGGAAUUUACGGUGUAGCGGUGAAAUGCGUAGAUAUCGUAAGGAAGACCAGUGGCGAAGGCGGGUCUCUGGACAGUUCCUGACGCUGAGGCACGAAGGUCAGGGAGCAAACGGG
rnacentral:rRNA from 1 species